UAAAAUAUAGCAUAAGAUAAUGCAUUUCACUUACACUGAAAAAAUACUCAUAAAUGAGUUGUUUUAA
rnacentral:tRNA from 1 species